CCCCAAAGUGUUGAGUUCAGUUCAGAGCAGCCUCCCCGUUCUGUGAAUUAAACUUUGGGACAUUGAAAGUGGCUAACGGAAAUGACGGAAUAGAGAAUAUUACACUAUACAUAUACUUCCUAGUCUACACCA